rnacentral:rRNA from 1 species
CCUACGGGAGGCAACAGUGAGGAAUAUUGGUCAAUGGGCUUACGCCUGAACCAGCCAAGUCGCGUGAGGGAAGACUGCCCUAUGGGUUGUAAACCUCUUUUGUCAGGGAGCAAUUGGCGCUACGUGUAGCGUUAUCGAGAGUACCUGAAGAAAAAGCAUCGGCUAACUCCGUGCCAGCAGCCGCGGUAAUACGGAGGAUGCGAGCGUUAUCCGGAUUUAUUGGGCGUAAAGGGUGCGUAGAUGGCAUAGUAAGUCUUUUGUAAAAAUGCUGGGCUCAACCCAGUAGGGCAAAAGAUACUGCAAAGCUAGAGUAUGACAGAGGCAAGUGGAACUACAUGUGUAGCGGUAAAAUGCGUAAAUAUAUGUAAGAACACCAGUGGCGAAGGCGGCUUGCUGGGUCGAUACUGACAUUGAGGCACGAAAGCGUGGGGAGCAAACAGGAUUAGAUACCCGUGUAGUC